UACGGGGGGGGCAAGCGUUGUUCGGAAUUACUGGGCGUAAAGGGCUCGUAGGCGGCCAACUAAGUCCGACGUGAAAUCCCUAGGCUCAACCAAGGAAGUGCAUCCGAAACUGCCGAGCUUGAGUACUUAAGAGGAUCGCGGAAUUCCCGGUGUAGAGGUGAAAUGCGCAGAUAUCGGGAAGAACACCCGUGGCGAAGGCGGUUCUCUGGGACGGUACUGACGCUGAGACGCGAAAGCGUGGGGAGCGAACAGG
rnacentral:rRNA from 1 species